UCACAAAGGAGGGGACAGGAGGAGGAGGGACUCCAGCUCCCCUGGAUUAGCCCUGAGCUCCGGGAUGUCAGAGGAGGAAACAGAAGGGGGCAGCCUGCAGAGGCAGCCAUGUUGGGAAGAGGACUCGGACCAGAUCCCAGGGAAGCCAGGCAGAUGAAAACUGAGCUCAUCAAGGUAAGCAGUAGCGCUGCCUUGAGUGCUGGAACUCUUCCCACACCCAUCACAGGGUCCGUGAUGCCGUGCUGCUCACCUGGUGGCCCUUCUUGGAUCAUCUGCUCAUGCUCGCCUUGAUCCUAUAGCUGAGCCCAGGGACUGAGAAAUCAUCCAGAGGCCUGGGACCCGCUCCCUUCUUGGAAACCUGCUUCCUGGUGCUUUAUACCUGGGAGAUGCUAGGCCUCCUUUCCUCCCCAAACUGUAAGAACAAAUCGUCAAGGUCAUCACACCUCUCCAUGGUCUUGAGGACAUCCAUGGACUGCUUUCCCUGCGCCAUCCCUUAACUUAACAAGGGCCUUAAUAAAUGUGUUGAGUGAGAGCUCCUCAGAAUG